rnacentral:rRNA from 1 species
UACGUAGGGUGCGAGCGUUGUCCGGAUUUAUUGGGCGUAAAGAGCGUGUAGGCGGCCAGGUAGGUCUGCUGUGAAAACUCGAGGCUCAACCUCGAGACGUCGGCGGAAACCAUCUGGCUAGAGUCCGGAAGAGGAGAGUGGAAUUCCUGGUGUAGCGGUGAAAUGCGCAGAUAUCAGGAAGAACACCCGUGGCGAAGGCAGCUCGCUGGGACGUGACUGACGCUGAGACGCGAAAGCGUGGGGAGCAAACAGG